rnacentral:rRNA from 1 species
AGAGUUUGAUCCUGGCUCAGAUUGAACGCUGGCGGCAUGCCUUACACAUGCAAGUCGAACGGCAGCACGGGGGCAACCCUGGUGGCGAGUGGCGAACGGGUGAGUAAUAUAUCGGAACGUACCCAGAAGUGGGGGAUAACGCAGCGAAAGUUGCGCUAAUACCGCAUACGAUCUACGGAUGAAAGUGGGGGACCUGCAAGGGCCUCAUGCUUUUGGAGCGGCCGAUAUCUGAUUAGCUAGUUGGUGAGGUAAAAGCUCACCAAGGCGACGAUCAGUAGCUGGUCUGAGAGGACGACCAGCCACACUGGAACUGAGACACGGUCCAGACUCCUACGGGAGGCAGCAGUGGGGAAUUUUGGACAAUGGGGGCAACCCUGAUCCAGCAAUGCCGCGUGAGUGAAGAAUGCCUUCGGGUUGUACAGCUCUUUUGUCAGGGAAGA